AUACGUAGGUGACAAGCGUUAUCCGGAUUUACUGGGCGUAAAGGGCGUGUAGGCGGUCUUGCAAGUCAGAAGUGAAAUUCCUGAGCUCAACUCGGGCGCUGCUUCUGAAACUGCAGGACUUGAGUGCUGGAGGGGAUAGCGGAAUUCCUAGUGGAGCGGUAAAAUGCGCAGAUAUUAGGAAUAACACCGGUGGCGAAGGCGGCGAUCUGGACAGUACCUGACGCUGAGGCUCGAAAUAGUGGGGAGCAAACAGGAUGAGAUCCCCGGGUAUGCCACGCCGUAAACGAUGAAUACUAGGUGUAGGGGGUAUCGACUCCCUCUGUGCCGCAGUUAACACAAUAAGUGUUCCGCCUGGGGAGUACGGCCGCAAGGUUGAGACUCACAUGAAUUGGCGGGG
rnacentral:rRNA from 1 species